GGCCGAGUUGACAGGGGAAUCAGUCAGGAAGUUGACAAGAUGAUAGAAGAUGAUGUGGGGGCAGAAAACAAUCAAGAAGCACAUGCCACAAAUGGAGUUUUGACUGAGAAUUUGAUAGUUAAUCUACAAGAGUCGACCUGCCUAUUUCUGCCCAAUCAUGUACAUCAUCCACCAAAAAUUAAGGUCAUCAUAGCUGAGGAAACUGUGAAUACAAGGAACAAGGACGUGUAAAAAAAUUAAAAUACGUAUUAUUUUCAAGAGAUUCCAGGAUCACAACAGUGCAAUCUCUGACUGGCUGAAACUCACCUUGGGGUUCACUACACCUCUGAGUCAGUCUUUUCAGUCUAACUUUGGAGCUGAAGAGCUGAGUUCUUCGGUGCUUUGGAAGCUCAUUGGUGCAAUAAGACAGAAAGGAAGAUGGCCAAGCCCACACUUCUGAUGCAGUGACCUUUCCAGACAACCAGCAUGGCCCACACCAUUCCUCUGAGCUCAACAAACAAAUUUGCAACUCCUUCUUUAGGGGACCCAAGGGUUCUCCACACAACAGUGAACUCAGUAGGGAAAAAUCUCAACUGAAAAUAAAAGACAGUUGUAACUUGUAACUAAAAAAUUUGAGAACUUGAAGAACAAAAGUGAGUGCAAUUUUGAAAUGUGGGUGCAUACCGUAAUUACCAUUACUAAGAGCAAAGUUUGCCUAGUAAGUUUUAUGAAACCUAUUUAAAAUUUAAUCAAGUGGAGGUUCCUGGUAAUUAAGGUACUUGGCAGGGCCAAAAAGUAAUGAAGAGAGGGGGCAGAUACUUGAGCCCAGGUUUGAGCUCCUGUUUUCUGACCAUGGUACACAUGGCACAUUUCUGUGAAGUAACGUCACAACAGAACACCUUACCACUUUAGGAUUGUGAAAGCACUCGUGGAAUUUUCCAAAUAAAAAAUUGCUUGGUUAUUACAUUAUAUAUCCUCCUUUAUUGUUAUUGAUAUAAAUUGCAUUAAUUAUACUUAGGCAAACAUCAAUAAUUAAUAGGAGGAGAUGUAGCAAGGAAAAAACAUUCACAAUGUAAGAAUUCCUCAGGGCUACAGCAAGAAAAUGAAGUGUGUAUUUGGUUUUGGCUUUGUUUCUUAGCAUGCCGAUCCUGAACUUUGCAACAUCUUCACCUCACACUCAAGAUGAAUACAUAAAGUCUGGCUUAACAACUUCUUUCCCAAACCAACUCAUCUUUUAAGUCCUUGUUUUUGUGAUUUUUGUUUACUCUCCCAAUGAACCAAGCAGCCCUCAAAUCAUAGGCCUAUCUCUCUUUUCCACUGAAUCAGGUAAUUGCCCCACCUCACCAAUCCUACUGCAGCAAAGAUUUGUGUCUGGGUCUCCCUCGUUUGGUCUUUACUACUUUCCUUCUGUUUCAGUUCUAAUUCAUACUUGCAUUAUUUCAUGCAUUAGAAAAUUCCAACUCAUAUUGACAUAAACAUUAAGAAUAUUAAUUAGUUCAUAUAACAAAUGUUUAAAUGGAAGGCAGUUACAGGUUUAGGUAAAUCAGUUGUUCCAUAGCAUCACCAAGAAAUCAGGUUCCUUGUUGAAUAUAGGCUUUGUUCACAGAUGAGCUCCUCUUAGCAUAGCAAAAUGGUAGCGUGGCAACUCCAAGCGUCACAUGGAGGCAAUCAACUUCCAGCAGAAGGUGAAAUUGUCUCUUCUCAAGAUGCUCUUUUCAGAAGAAGAUAUUUUCCACAAGGACCCUAAAGGAUGCAUAAUAACAAUUUAUACCCAUGUCCUCCAUGAAGAUAUUGUUCUAGAGCAGAGGCCUAAUUAUUACUAUUAGUUAUCUCAGUGAUUAGAAAUGGGCUCUAUGGACUCAUCCUAAAGUGAACUCAUCCUCUAGACACAUGGGACUUUCUCUUCUGAAAACCACAGAAAGGGGAGGAGGGAGGGAAAUCAUGAAAUAAAACCAGGAUUCAGUGAGGAAGGAUGAAGCAGAGACAGAAUGGCUGGUAUACUGACCAUCAGUGGAAUAUGCUGCAUCUAUCUCCUGCCUGGGCUGUCAUUUUAGACUCCAAAUUUGAUCCUAGGCCCUAGAAUUUCUUGGUGUUCAUCCAUUCCAUAGACUCUCCGGGGCUGAAAGUUCAUAAAGUAUAGCAUCGUCACAGAAUUCAGCACCAACUUCUCAACCUGGCCUCCAAAGCUCUCUACAACUUAUUCUAAAUUUUCUUCUCCUAAUGUUAUCACAUUCAAGACACAUUCUCUCCAGAGCAUCAUCCCCUUCCUUCUCCUUCUCAAGUAUCCACCUCUAUCCUGUCACCAAAGUGAUUUUUCUAAAAAAAAAAAAAAAGAUCUAUUGUACUUAAAAUAAUUUCUUACAGGAUAAAUUUAAAAUUCUUUAGCAUGGCAUAGAG
rnacentral:lncRNA from 1 species